rnacentral:rRNA from 1 species
AUGGGUGGUUUUGCUAAUCAGUUCAAAGCUCAAAUAACAAAAUUCCUCGCUGGAUUGUAUCGUUCUUUUUUAUUGUUUUUUUUCUUGAUUGAUAUCAGCCACUCCAAGUCCUUUUAUCCAGCCAUGAUAGAGAUCCAUUCAAAUCAGUUGUUCUAUGUUUACACAUUCAGAUAUACUAGUUGGUCUGCUGAAAGAUACGAUAUGUGUACUGUUGAUAAUCUCAAACAUGUUUUACUCAACUUUAGAAAACAUGUAAUAUUGUUGUGCUGCUUUGCAAUGUCUCCAGCAGUCCUACUUCUCCAUGAUGACAAGGACGAUGUCGCCAUGCGUGCAUGCUCUCCUUUCUUUCUCCUUCCGAGACGGUGA